rnacentral:misc_RNA from 1 species
UUUCCGUAGGUGAACCUGCGGAAGGAUCAUUCAUGAAUUGUGUUUUAUGGCUGUUUUUUCUUUCCAUACCCACCUUGUGAGCAAUGUUCGGGAUGCCUUUUCUCUCGAGAGGGUAAGAUUAAAACAUUAACUAUGUCUUAACCUUUUGUCUGUAAACUAUUAAUUAUUCAAAAAUUCAUAAUACAAUUUUCAACAAAGGAACUUUUCGCUCUCGCAUCGAUGAACAACGCCGUCGAUCAGUAUAGCACACGUCUGGAAUCGCGUCCGUUUGUACGACAA